rnacentral:rRNA from 1 species
GACGAAGGGGGCUAGCGUUGUUCGGAAUUACUGGGCGUAAAGCGAGUGUAGGUGGUUGUCCAAGUUGGAUGUGAAAGCCUUGAGCUCAACUCAAGAAAUGCAUUCAGGACUGGGCGGCUAGAGGACCGGAGAGGAUAGUGGAAUUCCUGGUGUAGCGGUGAAAUGCGCAGAUAUCAGGAGGAACACCGAUGGCGAAGGCAGGUCUCUGGGCAUUAACUGACGCUGAGGAGCGAAAGCAUGGGGAGCGAACAGG